UACGUAGGGGGCGAGCGUUGUCCGGAUUAUUGGGCGUAAAGAGCGUGUAGGCGGUUCGGUAAGUCUGUCGUGAAAUCCUGAGGCUCAACCCCGCGACGCCCUUCGAGACUGCGUGUCUAGGGACCGGUAGAGGUGAGUGGAAUUCCCGGUGUAGCGGUGGAAUGCGUAGAUAUCUGGAGGAACACCGGUGGCGAAGGCGGCAUCCUGGACCGACACUGACACUGAGGAGCGAAAGCCAGGGGAGCAAACGGG
rnacentral:rRNA from 1 species